AAAACAACAGUGACAACGCAGCGCCAACAACAAGAACAAAAAGCUGUAGAAGACGUUCGGUAACAAAAACAAAAACAGAACGUGAGCGAACUGAGUGUUUUGGGUACUUUGCUUUUUAGUGGUCCCACGGCACGUGCGAGUUGUAGAUGUAGAGAAGAAUCGUCUUCCAGGCGGCACUGCAUUUACCCAAUGACUUGCCCGAUGUCUCUGACUGCUCUGUGUAUUCAAAGCUUUCCGUUUGCACUCCUGGAAUCCCUAAGCUUGGGGAUUGACAGUGGGGUAGAAAAACGAAGAAAAAUCCCGGUAAAAACAAAAACAAUGCAGAUCGUCAACGCUUUCAGGGCGGGUUCGUGUAAACGAAUCCGCCUUUUGAUUAUCUGGCCCAACCAUUUUU
rnacentral:sRNA from 1 species